AAGAAGGCUCUUUGUGCGUCGUAGUCUCCGUUGCGCCCACCUGCCGUAUACGGCCGUGCGUGGCUUCCCUUUCCGGCCGCGGCUGUCUGCAGAAGCUUUGCUGUGGCGUGCUGGAGGACGCGCCCUGUGUGGCCUUAGUUCCGCACAAGCAUCACUGCUGCAACGCAUGACAGACCAUUAUCCGCAUUCCAAGCAGAUUGUUUCUAUUCUGAGCCAGGUUGUUCAUCAGUGUUAGGUUUUCUCGUUAGUUGUUAAGUCGUUAACUUUACUCGUGGACAAUCAUUUGGAUUAUGGAUAAUGUACGACCUUCCGGCGCCGCCUAGGCUCUGGAUGACUAUUUAAGUCGUUGUGUUGUUUAGAUUGUUAUGUCAUCGUUAUUACAUCUUGUGCUGGAUUAGCAGGCUUACGUCGCUCGGCCCUCGUUGUAACAUUUGUGACAUCCCAACGAGAAACGGAGUCCAUGCCCUUUCAGUUGGUAUCGAUCUAGACGAUCCGGCCUAUACGCUUCUCAGGGUGGAAUUGACCUCUGCUUGAGCCAAGGCGAACCUGACCCCAGAGGAGUCCAGACCUCCACUGGUCGAACCACGCUGAAGCGGUGUGAGAGAGGCUGUUGUGUCGACUACUUGUUCGCCCACUUUGGACACGGCCACAGUUUUCUGCUCGCUUGUCUUGGCCAUUAAUGCACCAAACGGUGACGGCGCC
rnacentral:lncRNA from 1 species